rnacentral:rRNA from 1 species
UACGGAAGGUGCAAGCGUUGUCCGGAUUGACUGGGUGUAAAGGGCGCGUAGGCGGAGAGGUGUGUCGGGACUGAAAUCGUGCGGCUUAACCGUACAAUGGCUUUCGAGACUACCUCCCUUGAGUACAGAAGGGGUUGAUGGAAUACCUGGUGUAGCGGUUGAAUGCGUAGAUAUCAGGUAGAUCACCGGAGGCGAAGGCGGUCAACUGGUCUGUAAAUGACGCUGAGGCGGGAAAGUGUGGGGAGCAAACAGG